rnacentral:tRNA from 1 species
AUUAAGUUAAUUUAUUUAAAAUCCUAGGUUGUGGACCUAAAAAUAAGUCUUACUUACUUAAUU